UCCGUCUGGAAAGAGCGGAAGCGAUGGAAACGAAGAAACCCUAAAAGACGAAUCCUUGGAGAGAGGAUAUGGAGGGGAAUAUCCGAUGGUAAAAAACUGCCACUCAUGGAGAAGUAAAAGCUGAAAGAGCUAUCAUACCGAUUCUGCAGGUCCCACAUGAGAAUUUUGCUACUUCACUGGGACUCAAUGAUGCUUCUUGGCUCAUUGAUGAUAUGCAACAAAGAAGAAAAGACCAACUCAGGGACUCUCCUCUAAUGGGAGCUUUAGAUUGUGCCUUUUGAGCUUGCACACUACCGUUCAAUGAGUCUGAAUUGAGGCUUGCUUCUAGCAUUCGCUUGCUGGUUUCCCUUGUAGGAAGGGAGGAAUUUGAUAAAAUGAAGCAUCAAGGAUAGAAGAUGAACCUUUUGGUUCUCAAUCUUUUUGUCAACAUUAGCUUUCCAUCUCCUAACGGAGUAGACUGGAUGUCCCCGAAACAUGGUUAAAAAAUGUUAUCCUAUGGGCCUAAUAACCCUGGUACCAGAAAAUAAGUUUGAUCACUGCCCAGCCGACGAAGCGGCCAACAUGAACUCAUUACUGUAGGACUAUGGUUACUUGGAGGUAACUUUUCGUUAUAUCCGAAAGAUCUCAUUAGAAGUGUGUCCAACGUCGGAAAAGGUGUCUGUUUCAGCCCAGACGAAGGAAGUGCGUUACCUCCUUGGUAUAUUGCGUUGGCUUGUGAAGUACGGGUCUGAACUGGACUGCAAAGAGAUACUUAAUUUGAGUUAUGAAUUCGUUAUUUGGCUUGGGAAGGUGUAAUUUCUAACUUUUAUCUGAAGUGGGGAAACCUCUUGUAUGUAGGAGCAACUCCUCAGCUGGACGUCUCCAAUUUUAGUAUGUACCAACCAAGUCCUCGGUUGGGAUGGUUCCAGUUUGCAGUUUUGGAGUUAAACCAUUUGUAAUAUAUUCCCACCUAUCUGUAAUUGAUCACUAUGUAUAUUGACCACUUAACCUUUUUAAGUAGUUUGAUGCUUUAAAUACAUGAUAAUUUCUA